rnacentral:ncRNA from 1 species
UAAUGAACAUCGACAGGAAAAGUAAAGGGUCGAGAUUGCACAGCGAAUCAACGGUGGUGGGAGUUGAUGAAUUAAAACCCUUGAAAAUGGUCCUUGAGUUUAAGUGACGGUGAGCUAUUGGUUAGCCGGAACCGGGUGCGCCCGUUAUUGCGUUAGGGUAUCUCUUUUUGACGUACCUGUCGAGUAACUAGUAGUGAUGCUAGUUAAAAUCAGGGUGGUAACACGACUUUAAUUCGUCCCGUAG